UACAAUCCCAGCCCUGAAGUUGUUGGAAAGAAUACAGAUUUGUAAAACACAAAUUAGUCUCCAAGAUAUUUUAGUGAUGCUUCAGGUCAUUCACUAACGACCUGAUGUUUCUGUAGUUUGAAGUUUCUGGAAUUAUUAGCCCAAAUCAAUGUUACUCUAUUAUUUUCCAGCCAAACUGUUUUUUUUUUCUCUGAAUAAGUCAGUUGCCUAUGUAAGAAUAGACUUUCUAAAUAUUCACGUAGAGUUUAAAUAGCUUUCAGGGGAAGAAUGCAAGAGAAAAUCAUGGUUUAAAGAAUAUGAAAGCAACUGAUAUAUUUCUACUGGAAAUUUAAGAAUCUCUACCAUGAAAUUAUUUCUUUAAUGGGCUGCCAAAUGAGUUGAGACUGGAAGGAGUGGUAGUUAGGUGACUUUAAGUAUUUUGUUCCUAUUGAUUAACCAAAAGAACUGUAAGGAAUAUUCCUAUAGGAAUAUCUGGUUUAGAACUAGCAAAUCCUCUUAAUUGGUUGAGGAAAUACCACCACAAAUUAAUCUUAGUCCACAUUGCUUGUCUCUACAUACUAGCUGGAAACGUCUUUAUUUUUUUUUUUUUAAAGCACUCUUACUUCUGUCAGAGAGACCUUAAUAGAAGUAUUUCAGACUGCUUCAUUCUUUAUCUUUUUGAUUAAACACACACAUGCACAUGCACACGUGGAAGGAAUCUGUAGGAAACUAAUUGACCAUGGUCCAUGGUCAUCUUAUUUGGGCUUAAAGGAUGGAAGAGGCUCCAUUAGGAAGAGAAUGGAGCAACAUGAAUCUGAAGAAAGAGGAAGGACAGGCAACUGGAGCCCAUGGAGUAACCUCGUGGAGACUCCAUGUCCGUGUGAUGUACAUUUUUAAGAAGCUGAUGGUACAGUCAGAGAGCAUGUCGGACAUCUGGAUGCUCUGUUUACUUGAAGAACCACUCUUGUGUCCGUGUCCACAAUCAACUUGAUAUUCCAGAUCUAGCUGCAUUCAAAAUGGCAGAUUGGUUUUAUAACUUUGAACAAAAAUUAGUUAAAUGAACCAUUCUGUAUUGAUAAA